rfam:Aedes albopictus isolate Foshan contig118093, whole genome shotgun sequence.
UAGCCUAGUGGUUAAGGCUGUGGAUUGCCAAUCCGGAGACAGCGGGUUCGAUUCCCGU